GAAAUGCGAUAAGUAGUGUGAAUUGCAGAAUUCAGUGAAUCAUCGAAUCUUUGAACGCACAUUGCGCCCUUUGGUAUUCCUUAGGGCAUGCCUGUUCGAGCGUCAUCUAAACCUUCAAGCCCUGCUUGGUGUUGGGUGCCUGUCCCGCCUCCGCGCGCGGACUCACCUCAAAUCCAUUGGCGGCCCCCGCGUCGGCCACGAGCGCAGCAGAAACGCGAACUCGUGAGCCCGUCCGGGCGGCUCCCAGAAGCUACACCCACCCAGUUUGACCUCGGAUCAGGUAGGGAUACCCGUUGAACUUAAGC
rnacentral:misc_RNA from 1 species